rnacentral:rRNA from 1 species
GGCCUCAAAUCAGGUAGGACUACCCGCUGAACUUAAGCAUAUCAAUAAGCGGAGGAAAAGAAACUAACAAGGAUUCCCCUAGUAACGGCGAGUGAAGCGGGAAGAGCUCAAAUUUGAAAUCUGGUGGACUUUGUUCAUCCGAGUUGUAAUCUAGAGAAGUGUUUUCCGUGCUGGCCAAUGUACAAGUCCCUUGGAACAGGGCGUCAUAGAGGGUGAGAAUCCCGUACUUGACAUUGAUCACCGGUGCUCUGUGAUACACUUUCAAAGAGUCGAGUUGUUUGGGAAUGCAGCUCAAAAUGGGUGGUAAAUUCCAUCUAAAGCUAAAUAUUGGCGAGAGACCGAUAGCGA